AAUAGUAGGUGUCAGCUGCUGUCCCUCUGCCCACAGCCUCCCGAAAACCGCUGGGGCAUUCUGAGGAGCCUGUUUAAUCAAGGGAUCCCUCUCCAGCUUGGAAACAGCACCAUAAGUCUCUACAAGCUGAAAUUGGGAUGCCCUUCCCUUUGCCUUCUUUUUCCCAAACUAGCUGUGGUCCUCAACCACAGUUUCUCCUCUAGAGUUGCUUGGGAGCCAGCCAAAACCACUGCACUCCUGCCAGAUCUGCAGGUCACCUGCUGCGGCUGGCAGAGGCGCUGAAGUGCUGCACCUCGGGGCUGUGGGGCAGGGAAGGGGCGCUUGGUGUGUCGGAGGCAAAAUGCGAUACAAACAGGGUUUGUAUACUCGAGUUCUGGUGGUUGGCUGCAGCCGGGCUCUUGGGACAUGUUGCUUGAACUUCAUGUUCGCUUCCUUUAAGCAAAACGAUUUAGAAAGCUGUCUGAAGCAUGACAGAGCUAAAUCCACCUGCAGGGCAACAGCAGCAUAGACGCAGCUGGUGCUCUGUGGCAUUGCUUUAGAGUGUGCCCCGGUGCUGUCAGUGUGGUCUGUGGGGUGGCAUUAAGCAACCAAAUCCCUGGUGCUUUCAAAUAAGACGGAAGAUGACAUGCCUGGCUGCCUGCAAGGGCUGUAUCGAGGCUGUCAGCUCAUCCUUGGAUGAAACAGAUUGUGAUGAGUCUUCCUCUGUGACUGCUUUGAAACUACAAUUGAUUUUUGAAGGAGCUGAAAGUUGUCGGUGUGUCUCUUGACCUUUGUAUGCUCCUUGAAAUCGUGUUUCUCAGUAAAGUCUGGUGAAACGCAGCACCCCUCUCCACUGACCUCGUGGGGCUUUGCCAGAAAUGGGUGCAGUAAUUUGUAGUUCAGACACACUGUUUGCACACAGACCAGAGGGAUGUGAUGCUCUGUGGCUAUCUGCCCUGUUUUAGAAGGGCUUAGGAGAUUGCAAGUGCCUUCUCUGUGUCGGAAAUUGAAUUGCUUUACUGAGCUGAUGCUUCUGAGAUUAACUUGUGGGCUCCGCUACCGACUCAAAAGGUGUCUUACAGACACUAUUCUCAAUUGUUAAGGGUUUUUCUCUCAAAUAUAGAUAAUUUUAAACCACCUGGGGCUCCCCCAUGAGAAUUAGUCCUUAAUUGUCUUGAAGGACAAGCAAAUCAAGACUUUUAAGCACACCCCACCUCAGAAAAACAAAGAUGUGCACCGUAGUGCUGUACACCUUUCAUCUCUGCUAUUCUAAUUUUGUUUGGCUGACUAAGGACUGCAUGGCGAUAACCCUGUCGAGAAUGCACGGUGUCACCAUCUAAACCAUCCAAGAGCUUCCCUGGGUGUUCUGGAAGAAGCAAGAGCUGGACUCGCUUAACUGCACAACUGUGGGGAUUUAUUUUCAGUCACAUGCGUUGCAACUUGGGUGUGAAAUGGGAAUUCAGUUCACAGGUUCCUGGAAAUGGUGUGGGACCUGCACGCGGCCUUCUGGGUCAAGAAGGAUGCUCAAGGAAUGUCCGAGGCUUUAUCAGUGCACAAUAUUUUCUGCACUGAAUUAGGCUCUCCCAGCUGAAAGAUCAAGCCCGUCCCUGCCACCACAUCCUGCAGAAGAUGGUGAGUCCUCUGAAGAAUAGAUGUGAUGUGACCUCGACCUUACUGAUAAACUGCAUCUCUUAUGCUCAAGCUGGGUUUUGUACGUUUAUAUAGUGUUUUUACAGUUUAUGGCUUGUGUUCAGCUGUUGCACAGAACUAAAAGCGUAAGUUUGAGAGGCUGCGAGAACAUUGCAGUGAAAUUAAUAUAUACUUUUUGAAGCUCAACGCUCAGUAUAAGUCACUGUUUUAGUUUUUAUCUUGGUUUCCUUGAGUUCCUCAGAGACUCCUGCACAUCGUGUAGCUUUUAUCUCUUGAUUGCCUUGUGCUUGUCAGGGACUUGCAUGUUUGUGCUUGUUCUGGUUUUAGGAAGUAGAUACUUGGUUUUCUAAUACACUGAAGCAUUCUAAAAAUA